rnacentral:rRNA from 1 species
AUGCAACGAUGGGAACGGCCUUAUCAAAUGACAUUUUUUGGCGAAGAAUUCCAGCGCACUAACAACUCCAUGGAUGACAUGCCAGCCGCACUGAAGCCUCUCUUGUUCAUCAUUUGGGCACCCUCAAAUAUCAAUGCAAUAGAUGGUAUUGUUGUAUUGGAAAAAUGUAUCAUGCGCCACAAAAUGGUCUUCCGGGCACACACUUUGGCCCUAUCAUGCAAGAGUAGUAAACAAGAACUUUGCCCACAAGCCAUUUACGUUGCUAAAAACCUUGUGACCCAUCAGAAGUGUGUUAGGAUAUAUACUUGGCGAAACAAAUACAAAUAUAUAAACAUUAAACAUUCCAGAAUAAGUUCCGCGAAAUUAAAGAUAAAGAACUAA